rnacentral:rRNA from 1 species
GACGAACGCUGGCGGCGGGCUUAACACAUGCAAGUCGAACGGUGACCCUUUUCGGAGGUGCUCAGUGGCGCACGGGUGAGUAACACGUGGGCAAACUGCCCCCGGCCCUGGGAUAACUCCAAGAAAAUGGGGCUAAUACCGGAUGUACACCGCUUCCCGCAUGUGAGUAGGUGGGAAGGGUUUCCGGCUGGGGAUGGGCCCGCGGCCUGUCAGCGUGUUGGUGGGGUAGUGGCCUACCAAGGCGACGACGGGGAGGCGGCCUGAGAGGGGUACUGGCCACACUGGGACUGAGACACGGACGCGACUGCGACGAGAGGCAGCAGUGGGGAAUAUUGCGCAAUGGGCGGAAGCCUGACGCAGCGACGCCGCGUGGGGGAUGACGGCCUUCGGGGUGUAAACCUCUUUCAGCAGGGACGAAGCGAAAGUGACGGUACCUGCAGAAGAAGCACCGGCCAACUACGUG